GAUGUGGCGCAGGGAUAGUGUGAUUGCUUACGACGCAGAAGGUUCCGGGUUCGAUUCUCGGUGGUUCA